UACGUAGGGUGCGAGCGUUAAUCGGAAUCACUGGGCGUAAAGCGUGCGUAGGUGGCGCGUUAAGUGUGAUGUUAAAUCGUGGGGCUCAACCCUGUCGGUGCAUCACAUACUGGCGUGCUAGAGGACAGCAGAGGCAAGUGGAAUUAGCAGUGUAGCAGUGAAAUGCGCAGAUAUCAGGAGGAACACCUACGGCGAAGGCAGCUCGCUGGGACGGUACUGACGCUGAGACGCGAAAGCGUGGGGAGCAAACAGG
rnacentral:rRNA from 1 species